GUUGAGCAUGGACUGCAAUGCAACAGAAGGCCAUGAUGCAGACCAGCAGCUGCAGCAGACCAGCAUUCAAGUUGGACCAGAAGCAGCUUAAUUAUUUUGUUUACUUUUUGUUCAUUUUGUAAUGCCAUCCAAGCUAAAUGUAACUAGACUUUUAGAGUUGUUAAGAUUUGAAUUGAUGGAUGUAAUGGCUAAAAAUUGUCCAGCUUUCUUUUGUAUUACUUUAGUUGGUAACUUGCCAAAAUAGGUGUGAGCAGUUACAAGUUUAGGUAACUGACAUUCUAAUUUUGUAACUCUUAUAUUUUCAAAUGAAAUGAAAAGUAAUAGCAUUCCAUUCAGUUACAUUUUUGCUUUUGAGUUUUCUGUUCUGUUUUCUUUUCUUUUCUUCUUGCUGUUCGAGAGCUUAUGCUCUUGGUGUUUUCAUUUGUUUGAUUUGCUGCUGUCUUUGUUUCAACAAAUGGUAAUCAGAGCCUCUUAUCUUUGAGGACCUCUGUUGUUUAAGUUUCAGUUUUAAAAAAAACUCAGAAUUGUGUUUGUAAAAUCAAUUCCAGCAGCAUGAGUUUUGCUCCUCCACCACCACCAAUUUUUGCUGGAGAUAACUACCACAUUUGGGUAGUCAAGAUGAAGACUUAUCUCCAAGCACUUGACCUCUGGAGUGAAGUUGAAAGUGAUGUCGAGCCACCUCCACUAAGAGAAAAUCCUACCAUUGCUCAAAUAAGGCAACAUGGUGAGGAAUGAGCCAAGAAGCAUAAAGCUAUGGCUUGUCUGCAGAAUGGAGUGUCUGAUGUGAUCUUCACUCGCAUCAUGGCCUGUGACUCACCUAAGCAGGCAUAGGACAAGCUGAAAGAGGAGUUUAUGGGAUCAGACAAGACCAGGCAGCAAUAAGUCAUCAACCUGUGAAGAGAGUUUGAAAUUUAAAAAUGAAGGAGUCAAAAACUAUUAAACAGUAUUCUGAUAAAAUCAUGGCUAUUGUAAAUAACAUAAGCUCAUAGGAGAGGAUUUCAGCGAUAGCAGAAUGGUUAAGAAGGUGAUUACCACUCUUCCAGAGAGGUUUGAAUAAAAAAUCUCCUCAUUGGAGGACUCGAGGGACCUCACAACCAUUUCCUUGUCUGAAUUGGUUAAUUCUCUCUAUGCACUCGAGCAGAGGAGGGCUAGCAGACAAGAGGAGAAUCCUGAGGGAGCCUUUCAAGUAAAAGCUAGAGAAGGUUCUAGCUCAAAUCAGAAAGCUAAGAAACCUUGGUUUGAAAGAAGGGACAAAGCAAAGAAAGAAGCAAAUAAAGAAGUAGGCAGAAAGAGGUUUCCACCAUGCAUUCACUGCAAAAAGACCAAUCACUUGGAGAAAUUUUGCUGGACCAGACCAGACAUUCAGUGUAAGAGUUGUAAGUAGUAUGGCCAUCAUGAGAAAAUUUGUAGAAAUCAUGAAAAGGCUCAAAUUCAGCCAAUUCAAGCCAAGACUGCUGAAGAUAUACAGGCUCAGGAGGAGCAUGUAUUCACUGCCUCAUGUUUUGCAGUCAACAACAAGUGUAGUUGGCUUGUGGACAGUGGUUGCUCACACCAUAUGGUUGCUGAUGAGAGUUUGUUCAAGAAUCUUGACAGGAGCUAUGUCUCGAAGGUCAGGAUAGGCAAUGGAAAUCUGAUUGAAGCUAGGGGCAGAGGUGAUGUUGUAAUCAACACCGGUUCAGGUAACAAGGUUAUUUCUGAUGUCCUUUAUGUGCCAGAAAUAGACCAAAAUUUGCUCAGUGUAGGCCAGUUGGUUAAGAAAGGCUAUUCACUAUUUUUUAAGAAUAAUUCUUGUGUUAUAAGUGAUGCUCAUGGUAGGGAGAUUGUCUCAACACUUAUGGCAGACAAAUGUUUCAUGCUGGAUGUGAGUCAGCUUGAGAAAAGUGCCUAUUCAAGUUCAGUUGACAAUACUGAUCUUUGGCAUAAGAGGUUUGGCCAUGUUAAUCUCAGGUCACUUGAUUUGCUACACAAAAUGAGCAUGACAGAGGACAUGGUUAAGGUUAAUGUAAGUGAAUCAGUUUGUGAGGUGUGUCAGCUUGGUAAACAAGCAAGAUUACCUUUUCCAGCUAACCAAGCAUGGAAAGCUCGAGACAGACUUGAACUGGUGCAUUCAGAUGUCUGUGGACCAAUGAAGACACCUUCAUUGAAUGGCAGUAAGUAUUUUAUAUUGUUUAUUGAUGAUCUGACCAGAUUUUACUAGGUCUAUUUUAUGAAACAAAAGUCAGAGGUGUUUGAAAUGUUUGCAAAGUUUAAGGCUUGGGCAGAAAAUCAAACAGGCUGCAAGAUUAAGGCCUUAAGGACAGACAAUGGUUCAGAAUACUUGUCUGAAAGAUUUCAGAAGCUAUGUGAGCAGGCUGGAAUCCAUCAUCAGCUGACCACAGUGUACACUCCUCAACAAAAUGAAGUGAGUGAGAGAACGAACAGAACUGUGAUGAACAUGACCAGGUGCUUGUUGUUUCAAAGCAGGCUUCCAGGUAUUUUUUGGGCUGAAGGUGUCAACACAUCGAUAUACUUGCUGAAUAGGCUGCCAACACAUGCUGUGUAGGACAAGACCCCUUUUGAAGCAUGGUAUGGUCUAAAACCUAUUGUUUCUCACUUAAAAGUGUUUGGCUGCAUGUGUUAUGUUCUUGUACCAGCAGAAAGGAGAACCAAACUUGAGAAAAGUUCUGUACCAGGCAUAUUUGUUGGCUACAGUGGCUGUAAGAAGGGCUACAGGAUAUUUGAUCCCUCGACCAAGAAAAUUUUGGUAAGUAGGGAUGUUAAAUUUGAUGAAACAAGGUUUUUGAGACUUGAAGGUUCAGACACAAGUUAGUUUGAAGACGAGAAAGAUGGCAACAAUCUGGAAUUGGCAGAAAGUGAGGUCAGUAAUGCCAAUAUUGAUGAUGCUCCUGUGAGAGGGACCAAGCCUACUGCUGAUAUCUACCAGAAAUGCAAUAUAGCCAUUGUUGAACCCUCAAGCUAUGAAGAAGCUGCUAGAAGCAACAGUUGGAUGAAGGCCAUGGAGGCUGAAAUUGACAUGAUCCACAAGAAUGACACUUGGGAUCUAGUGGACAGACCUGAUCAGAAGAAAGUUAUUGGUGUCAAGUGGGUUUACAAGGCCAAGUUCAAUGCAGAUGGCUUUCUGAACAAGCACAGGGCAAGGCUUGUAGUGAAAGGGUAUAGCCAACAAUUUAGCAUUGACUUUGAGGAAACAUUUGCUCCAGUAGCAAGAUUAGACACCAUAAAGCUCCUUUUUGCCUUGGCUGCACAGAAAUAGUGGAAGGUUCAUCAACUUGAUGUCAAGUCAGCUUUCCAGAAUGGCUUUCUUAAAGAGGAAAUUUAUGUUGAACAGCCUGAUGGAUUUAAAGUUCAAGGAAAUGAGGACAAUAUUUAUAGGCUGAAGAAGGCACUUUAUGGAUUGAAAUACGCUCCUCGAGCCUGGUAAAACAGAAUUGAUGAAUAUCUGUCUAAACUCAAAUUUGAGAAAAGUUUGAGUGAGCCAACUCUGUUUGUGAGAAAGUCCAAAGAUGAGACACUGUUGAUUGUGUCAAUAUAUGUGGAUGAUCUACUGGUGACUGGAAGCAAAAUUGAACUGGUUCAAGAGUUCAAGAAGAAAAUGCAAGUCAUGUUCGAUAUGACAGACUUGGGAAUUAUGAGUUAUUUCCUUGGUAUGAAAGUGAGUCAGAUUGAUCAGGGCAUUUUCAUCAGCCAACAUGCAUUUUCCUUGAAAAUACUCACUAAAUUCCACAUGGAAAAUUGCAAGCCAGUGAGUACACCUUUGGUUAUAGGACAGAAAUUGAGCAACUUUGGAAAUGAAGAAAAAGUGGAUGAAAGGGAGUGCAGAAGUCUAAUUGGAUGUUUGCUUUACUUAACAGUAAUUAGACCUGAUCUUAUGCAUUCGGUCAGUUUGUUAUCUCGUUUCAUGCAUAGUUGCAAUACAUCACACUUAAAGGCAGCAAAGAGGAUACUCAGGUAUGUCAAAGGAACUUUGAAGUUUGGUGUGUUGUUCAAGUCAGGGAGUGAGCUAAAAUUAACUGGCUACUCAGACAGUGACUGGGGAGGUUCGAUUGAUGACAUGAGGAGUACCUCAGGCUACCUUUUUACACUUGGUUCGGGAGCUUUCUGUUGGAGCUCUAAAAAACAACAAACAGUUGCUCAAUCAACUGCUGAAGCUGAAUACAUAGCAGCAGCUGGAGCAGUAAGCCAAGCAAUCUGGCUUAGGAAAUUGUUGUGUGAUUUGAAUGAGGAACAACUUGAACCUACUGAGAUUAUGGUUGAUAAUUAGUCAGCAAUAGCUAUCUCCAAAAAUCCUGUUUUCCUGGUAAAACAAAACAUUUUAAGCUUAAAUUCUACUUUGUUCGAGAGGCAGUGCAAUCAAAGGAUGUAAGUCUUGUACAUUGUAGCUCACAAGACCAAUUGGCUGACAUUUUAACAAAGCCUCUUGGUACUAUGAGGUUUGAAUUUCUUAGAGAUUUGGUUGGUGUUUGUUGCCUACAGUCCAAGGAGGAAUGUUGAGCAUGGACUGCAAUGCAACAGAAGGCCAUGAUGCAGACCAGCAGCUGCAGCAGACCAGCAUUCAAGCAGGACCAGAAGCAGCUUAAUUAUUUUGUUUACUUUUUGUUCAUUUUGUAAUGCCAUCCAAGCUAAAUGUAACUAGACUUUUAGAGUUGUUAAAAUUUGAAUUGAUGGAUGUACUGGCUAAAAAUUGUUCAGCUUUCUUUUGUAUUACUUUAGUUGGCAACUUGCCAAAAUAGGUGGGAGCAGUUACAAGUUUAGGUAACUGACAUUCUAAUUUUGUAACUCUUAUAUUUUCAAAUGAAAUGAAAAGUAAUAGCAUUCCAU
rnacentral:lncRNA from 1 species